rnacentral:tRNA from 1 species
AGGGGUGUGGCUCAAUGGUAGAGCGCUUGCCUGGCACGCAGAAGGCCCUGGGUCCAAUCCUCGGCACCCCAA